rnacentral:rRNA from 1 species
UGGGGAAUAUUGGACAAUGGGCGAAAGCCUGAUCCAGCCAUGCCGCGUGUGUGAAGAAGGCCCUAGGGUUGUAAAGCACUUUAAGUUGUGAGGAAGGCCUUCAAAUUAAUACUUUGGAGGAUUGACGUUAGCAACAGAAUAAGCACCGGCUAACUCCGUGCCAGCAGCCGCGGUAAUACGGAGGGUGCAAGCGUUAAUCGGAAUUACUGGGCGUAAAGCGCGCGUAGGUGGCUCAUCAAGCCAGAUGUGAAAUCCCCGGGCUCAACCUGGGAACUGCAUUUGGAACUGAAGAGCUAGAGUACAGCAGAGGAGUGUGGAAUUUCAGGUGUAGCGGUGAAAUGCGUAGAGAUCUGAAGGAACAUCAGUGGCGAAGGCGACACUCUGGGCUGAUACUGACACUGAGGUGCGAAAGCGUGGGUAGCAAACAGG